rnacentral:rRNA from 1 species
ACAGAGGGUGCGAGCGUUAAUCGGAAUUACUGGGCGUAAAGGGUGCGCAGGUGGAUUAGUAAGUUAGGUGUGAAAACCCAGGGCUCAACCUUGGACUUGCGCUUAAAACUGCUUCUCUAGAGUACUGUAGAGGAAAGUGGAAUUUUCGGUGUAGCGGUGAAAUGCGUAGAUAUCGGAAGGAACACCAGUGGCGAAGGCGACUUUCUGGACAGAUACUGACACUGAGGCACGAAAGCAUGGGUAGCAAACAGG